GACAGAGGGUGCAAGCGUUGUUCGGAAUUACUGGGCGUAAAGGGCGUGUAGGCGGUGAGGUGUGUCUGGUGUGAAAGCCCUCGGCUUAACCGGGGAAAUGCAUUGGAAACUACCUCGCUGGAGUGCGAGAGAGGAUGGCGGAAUUCCCAGUGUAGAGGUGAAAUUCGUAGAUACUGGGAGGAACACCGGAGGCGAAGGCGGCCAUCUGGAUCGUAACUGACGCUGAGACGCGAAAGCGUGGGGAGCAAACAGG
rnacentral:rRNA from 1 species